GAUUUUCGCGUGUGAGUCUGGCAUGUGAUACCGUUAAAUUGACCCCCAGAUAUUUUAGGGAUGUGGGCCUCCAGUCGAAGGAGAAUGUGGACCGCAGCCUACAUACCGUUGUGGGGGAAAGACCGAAUGGCAGCACCUGGGUUUUGGUGGUGUUGUUCUUAUAGUAUGAGACCGCGCCAUAGAGAUACAGUAGGGAUGUCAGAGCCGGGAUGGAUUUGUCAGGGUGCGUGAGGAAAAGCAGAAUAUCAUCCGCGAACAGUGUUAGUUUUUGAGUUCCCGCUGGUGUAGUAAGUCCCGAAAUCUCUGUGUGUUGUUUAAUGCGGUGUAUAAGUGGCUCCAGACAGAAGAUAAAUAGCAGGGGUGACAAUGGACAACCCUGUCUCGUUCCGUUACUGAUUGUGAAUGAUUGUGAUAAAAAGCCAGAGUUAAAGACCCUAGCUGACCACUAUACAAUGCC